rnacentral:tRNA from 1 species
GCACUCGUAGCUCAGCUGGAUAGAGCAUCGGAUUUCGAUUCCGAGGGUCGGGAGUUCGAAUCUCUCCGAGCGCGCCA